rnacentral:rRNA from 1 species
CUGCUCAUGAUAUUUUUAAAUAGCUGCAGUAUAAAUAACUGUACAAAGGUAGCAUAAUCAUUUGUUUUUUAAUUAAAAACUUGAAUGAAAGAUUAAAUGAAAUAUAAACUUUCUAAAAAUUAUUAAAUAAAUUUUUUCUUUAAAUUAAAAAAUUUAAAUAAAUUUUUAAGACGAGAAGACCCUAAGAAUUUUUAUUAAAUAAUUUUAAUUCAAAUAAAAUUAUUUUAAUUUUAAUUGGGGGUAUUUUAAAAUUUAAUUAAUUUUUAAUUUAAUAUAAACAUAAAUUUUUGAAUAAAUAAUUUUUUAUUUAAAAAACAAAUUUAAAUUACCUUAGGGAUAACAGCAUAAUUUUUUUAAAAAGUUCAAAUUUAUAAAAAAGUUUAUGACCUCGAUGUUGAAUUAAGAUGAAUUAUAUAGAAAAAUAUAUAAAAUUUAAGUCUGUUCGACUUUUAAAAUCUUACAUGAUUUGAGUUAAGAUCGGCGUAAGCCAGAUCGGUUUCUAUCUAAUAAUAAAAUAAAUAUUUUUGUACGAAAGGAAUUUUUAUUUAAAAUAAUUUUUAAUUAAUUUUUAAUAUAUAAUUUAAUUUUAAUUUAAUAUUAUAAUAAAUGUAUAAUAAAAAUUUUAAAAAAUUAAAAAUUUAAUUUUAGUUUAAAUUAUUAAUUAUAACUAUUAUAUAUAUAUAAAUUUUUUAAUUUAAAUAAAAAAAUAUUAAUAUAAAAUAUUAUUUAUUAAAAAAAUUUUAAUUAUAAAUAAUUAUAAUAUAAAUAAAAAUUGUGCCAGCAAUUGCGGUUAUACAAUUUAUAUAAAUUAAUAUAAUCAAUUCAAAUUAAAUAUAUAAUUAAAUUUUUAAUAAAUAAAAAUUUUUGAUAAAAUAUAAAAUUUUAAAUAAUUAAAAAUUUUUAAUUAAAUUAAUUUUAAAAAUUUUUAAUUAAACUAGGAUUAGAUACCCUAUUAUAAAAACUUAAAUUUAAAAUUAAAUAAUUAAAUAUUAAUUUAUUAAAUUUAAAAAAAUUGACGGUAUUUUUAUCUUAGAUAAACUUGAAUCUUAAUUUGAUAUUCCACAUUUUUAUAAACUAAUUUUAAUAUUUUUAUAUAUUACUGUUUAAAUAAAAUUUUAAAAUUUUAAUUAAAAAUUUUUUUUUAAAAACAAUUCAAGUCAAAAUAUAAAUUUAAAUUAGAGAAUUUGAGUUACUUUAAAAUUUAAAAUUAAAUAAAAUAUUUUAUUAAAUUUUAUUUAAAGAAUUUAACAAUAAAUUUUUAAAUUUAUAAAAAUUAAAAUAAAAUUUAAAUAUGUACAUAUCGCCCGUCAUUUUUAUAUAAUAAUUUUUUAAUAUUUAUUUAUAUAAAACAAGUCGUAACAAAGUAAUUUUACUGGAAAGUAAAAUUAGAAUU